ensembl:lncRNA
UUUUUUAAAUUCCGGAUUUAAUUACUGAAAUGCUUUUCUUUCCAUUUACCCUGAUAAAUCAAUUAACUUCAAUUAGUGCACAUUACUCCAGUACUAGCCUCUUAACACUGGCUGCCUGUUAGGGUUAGGGCUGAUUUUAAGGUUUUAUUGUUAACCUAAAAAACAAUACAUGGACUUGCUUCGACUUACCUAGCUGAAAUGAUCCAGCAAUACAUACCUACACGUAACCUUAGAUUGCAGAGAUGCAGGCCUUCUAAUUUUACCUAGAAUUUCUAAUCUAACAGCUAGUGGCAGGGCUUUCUCUCAUAGAGCUCCACUACUGUGGAAUGAUCUAAAGGUUAGAAAUGCAGAUUCUGCAAACUUUGAAGUCUCUACUAAAGACUAAUCUCUACAGCAUGGUUUAUGAUUAAGUUUAGUCUGGCCCAGGGGUGUGAGGGUGACCAGAAAGGCUACACCCUCGCUGUCUUGCCAGGUAGGCUCUCAUCACCACUGGGAUGCCCUCCCUCAAAUACCUUUUGGGGGCAGAGUCACUGGCUUGUUGUCUCUCUGUUGCGCCCAUUGUGCAACUGGGUUGAACUCUGCUGGCAAUACUCGGCCCUUAUUUCAGGGUGGUCGACAUAAGUUGUUUUUAAAUGUGCUUCAUAAAUACACUUGACUUGGUCUGCACAUAUGAUUAACAAAUCAAAAUGUAAUUUUAUUUGUCACUUUGAGAGAUCAGAGCAGGACAAAAGGUACAGUGAUAGUCUAAUUAUUAUUCAGUAAAACAUGGUUCAGUUGCAGAAAAAUGCAUAUUCUAUGGAUAUUGAAACUAUUCUAAAUAACAAAUGGUCGACCAGGUUAUGAAGACCUUUUCAAAGUAAAUGGGUGACGUUCUCACAGCAAGAGAGUUAUACACAAGAAAUCCCAGAUCAAAGAACACAAUUUAUUUAAGGUCGCUUAAAUGGAUAAUUUUCUUUCAUGAUUAGAGGUGAGGCUUACAUGGAGACAAUAAAAUUGAACAGAUAAAUGUUUAUUAUCAAGAGUGGCCGAAAUAAAUCUGAAAGCCACACCUCUGCAAAAUCUUCUGAUCACUCUCAUUGUGCUCAAUAAUCAGGCAUUUUAACCCAGACUUUACCCAGAAUUUACCCAAGAGACACAAUGGACUGUGUCUACACAAACCAAUCAUGUGUUAUUUCCAAUCACACUGAUUGUUGUUAGUUUUAGUUAGUUUUAGUAUUCACAAUAUGUCACACUAUCUCUGUCCCCUCAUCUCUUGGUCCUUCUCUAAUUCUUUAAAGAUUUCUCACUCACUUCUCUCUAUUAUGUUUAUGUCUGUCCUUCCUCUCUCUCUCUCUCUCUCUUUCCUCUCUCUCCUCUUUUUCCUCUCUCUCUUUUUCACAUCUUUUCCUGUCUUUCUUGUUUUUUCUGUCCCGUCCGGACCAGGAACAAGGUGGUGCUGGUGGAGUAGUAGUGGUGGUGGUGGUGGUGGUGGUGGUGGUGGUGGUGGGAAAAGCAGAAGGCAAGUUGGGGUUCUCAGUGAUGAUCCCAGGGUUGUUGGGGUUCUGAGUGUUGACCCCAGGGUUAUUGGGGUUCAGAGUGUUGACCCCAGGGUUAUUGGGGUUCAGAGUGUUGACCCCAGGGUUGUUGGGGUUGACCUGGGUAGCCUUAGGAAAGACAGACAGGGAGAGACUAUUAAAACAUUGUUACAACACUGCUCAUAUCUAGUAACGUAACCUCUGGAAUGAUCGUAAACUCAAUCAAUGGUUUUAGAUUUUUCUAUCAUGUUUAACCUGAAUUUAUAAAAUAUUACAUGUAACCUCACCGUAACAGCUGGGCCGAAGGCCAAAACUGUGAUGUUGUCCACACUUAGAGAAUGGAGUGGAAUGGUCUUGACUCCUAUCGCCAUGUAUGCCAUUACCAUGACGACAGUGAACACCAAUCUGCUACUGUUGUCCAUUCCUGUCAGAGUAACAAAGAGACCAGUGGUUAGUAACAGAUGUAUUCAUCAACAGUCACAUUUAUUACAACCUCGUAGCUUAAAAACCUUUGACUUCGAUCACUGGAAACUACAGGAUACACAUUGACAACUAGUAUACAAGCAAAACUAUGAAAAAAGGACAAAGUCAUACUUUGAAAUGAAAAAUCACAUACUAGUGUUAAAUAGUAUGCAAUGGAAGGAUUUGUUUUGGAAAAACAUUACAAAAAAUACAUUUGAAGAACAAUCUAUAAUUUUCUAUCCACAUUAUUCAUUAAAAGAAAUGGAAACUGUACCUGCAAUUUUGUGAAGAUUUCUGAAAUUGAAAGCAUUCACGAUUCUUUUCAUGAAUCCUAUAAUGUCACACUAGUACUGUCUGGCUAUUUAUUACAUUCAUCUCUUGUGGAGGAGGGACAAAAAAACAAAGGAAACAUGAACCAGCCUUUUAGCGUCAUUCAGGUGUGACAUGCAGGUGUCUUAAUGUGGGCUCAACAGGUUUAACCAACCAAAACAAAAAUCUGCUGUAUCAUGCAUCAGAAGGGAUAGCCAAAAAAAACAAUUGUGACGUCAAAGUGUUUCAGUGACCAGACUGGGAACAAGGUAUACACAUUCCUAAAAUGUUAUUUUCCAAAAACCUUUAUGUACAUAUACUGUAUAUCAUACAUAAAACCUCUCUAUAUAUACACCGAACAGUAUAAUGCUGGUACUGACAGAAAGGUGUCAGAGCACACAGAGCAUCGCAGUUUGUUGCGUAUGGGGCUGCGUAGCC